rnacentral:siRNA from 1 species
AGGUGUCGAUGCCCAUGGGCGA